UUUAAAACCUUCGAGAGAAUACAGUAUGCCAGGGAGACUGUUAUUAUGACUUUGGGGAGGAUAAUACCAAGAAUUUGGAGUAUGCUCCUUACUAGGGUCCCCACAAACCAAACCACCUAAAAUCAAAUAGAUUAGAGAAUGAGCUAGACAAAGAGUCUACUCACUUAACUAAGCAGUCUCUUCGUUAAUCCCCUACAAGUGAAUCUCUAUAAUCUACAUUUGAUGUAUUUCUCCAUAGGCCACGAGGGCCAGCAGCUGCACAGAUACUUUUCUGUUCAGCCACUAAAUAAUCUAGAGCAAUUCUAUUAUUUAGCAUAACUUUCAGAAGAGAAUUUAAGUCUGUUGUGUAACCAUAGCCUUUAUAGUAGAAUCUGCUACAGAGCCUGUCAUGAGGGAUACAUUUCUAAUCAUUGUCUGUUUUAUUCCAAGCCAUGAAAAAAGAACCUAACAAAUGAUGCCUCUCUUGAAGAGUGAAGGCCUCCUGGCAAUGUUCUCUUUAACCCAUGAUGUGGGUUAAGAAGAGUGAACCAAUGUUCUGUUUUUGAGUGAUUAUGAGGCAACAUAUGUACAACUAAAGUUUCUUAUCUACAUUAGGACUUUUUUUUUCUUUUUUUUUUGAGAUACAGUCUUACUCUGUUGCCCAGGCUGGAGUGCACUGGUGCAAUCUUGGCUCACUGCAGCCUCUGCCUCCCGGGUUCAAGUGAUUCUCCUGCCUCAGCCUCCCAAGUAGCUGGGACUACAGGUGCACCACCACGCCCAGCUAAUUUUUGUAUUUUUAGUAGAGAUGGAGUUUCACCAUGUUGGCCAGGAUGGUCUUGAUCCCCUGACCUUGUGAUUUACCCACCUUGGCCCCCAAACUGCUGGGAUUACAGGCGUGAGCCAUUGCCCCAGCCAGGCCUUCAUUUUUUUAUCUAUCAAAGUAUAAGGUUAUCCAUGUAUACGGCUGGUUGCAAAACCCUUCACAAAUAAAAGCAUAACCCAUAAGUGCACACAACAGACCCCCUUUUCAUUUCUAUUGUUCAUAGACACAUAAACAAGGAGAAAAAAUUCAAAGAUAAGAGUCUCAUGAGAGUAGAGAAGUCUUGAUCCAUGAUCUCGGGAAAAGCUGCUCACAUCAAGGAUGCCAUCUUCUGGAGAGAAACUUUCCUGGUUAGCUUUACCUUAAGGAUUCCAGCGGGUGUACAGUUCCAAGAGUGUGGAGGGACCCUUCUCAGUUGUGACAUUAUGAACCCAAAGUUCAAGUGUCCAAAGUCUUGUUGUAGUGUAAAUGGCAAGGGCAGUCUUUCCCUGAUAUUUUCAGAAGAUCCCGUUUUCAGGUUCUAGUUUGUGAAGGAGUUGAUGCUACGUGUGUAUCCAGCUUGUUCUUGGACAGGUAAAGGUAGGAGGGAAUGUUCAUAGUUUUCAUUUUUGCAAAAGCCUCAAAGAUCUGUAUAAAUCCUUGGUCCAGACAUGUUUCUUUGUGGGCACAUUGACAACGUUUCGAUUCAUAAAUGAGGAAGCGAGGACAGAUGUGUUAAUCUGAAUGCUCAGCUUCUGAACAAGACUGAAUAUUCGUUCAUCUACUCAUUCUACAUUUCAGAGGGGUUCACACCAGAUUUCCAGGGGCGCACAAGUUGCAACCUGAGUCAAUUCCUUUGAUCACAACUGUCAUUUUUCUCUCAACCCCAACCUUAGGUGGCUCAGUCAUUUGUUCGUUCACUUUCCCGCUAAGGCUUGUCCCUGGAAUGCCACAGCUGCAGAGUUCCCCACAUAAACAAGGCUUCUAACUAACUGAUACACUCAAAACUUACUGAUAAAGAAAGCAGCAAUAGCCUAUGCUUGAAGAUGACAAAAAGAAAAAAUAAAAAUAAGGAAAAGAAAUAGUAAUGAAAACAAGAGGAGGGUGUCACUGUCUGCUGAUUGGAUCUGCACCCAGAGAGCCAUGCACUUUUCUGAGUUUUAAAAUUUUCCAACCCAAAUCAGCACAAACUGUUAAGCUUUGUGCUGAAGAUUGUGGGGACAGGAAGUUAGAAUAAAAGGCAAGUGAUGAAUAUCAUUUAUUUAAGAAAUCUGGACUCAACUGACCAUCAUGAUCGUUGUCAGUUUUGCACCAUAAAAAUAUUUAGUCAAAAGGUUUCUGCCCUGUUCCUGUUUCUUUUUGCCCCUUCACGAUUCCAUUCUGUUUCCAGUAUUUCACUAG
rnacentral:lncRNA from 1 species